GGUGGCUCAGUGGUAGAGCGCUUGCCUUGCAUGCAAGAGGCCCUGGGUUCGAUUCCCCAGCACCACAUAAACA
rnacentral:tRNA from 1 species